GCAGGUGUAGUUUAAUGGCAGAACUUCAGCUUCCCAAGCUGAUCGCGUGGGUUCGAUUCCCAUCACCUGCUCCA
rnacentral:tRNA from 2 species